rnacentral:ncRNA from 1 species
GGUCCCGGUUCAAGCGACCCGCCUUUCAUCAUCAUCUAUACCAGCUGCCACGCACGAUCCCAUAGGGUGAGCUAACUCCAAAAACUCGUCCUCAGUUCGGAUUGCAGGCUGCAACUCGCCUGCAUGAAGCAGGAAUCGCUAGUAAUCGUCGGUCAGCCAUACGAUGGUGAAUCCGUUCCCGGGCCU